rnacentral:lncRNA from 1 species
UGUUGCUGUAACGAAAUAUUUAUAAACAAGGUUAUUGGUAUCUUCCGAUGAACUUUGUUUUAGAAAAAAAGAAUAGACGUUGAAGACAUUACCCUCGUUCAUCAACUUUCUGCUCGGAUAUUCGUAGUAGCUGCAAGCUCUUAUAUAUCGGAUGGGUUGGGAAAUGUUUAUCCAAUAUGCAGGUGAAGUUUGUAUAUUGCUAUACUAAGGUGGGAGAAAAGAAUAAUUUCUAAAUUAAAAUCGUCAUGUAAGCAAUAUAUUGAGGUACUGAGAAUGACCACGUAUGUCAAAUUCGAGGUAAAUGUCUAAAACGAGGCAGAGGAAGCCGUGUCUGUUGUUUAUUU